rnacentral:rRNA from 1 species
AUUGAACGCUGGCGGCAGGCCUAACACAUGCAAGUCGAGCGGAUGAAGGGAGCUUGCUCCUGGAUUCAGCGGCGGACGGGUGAGUAAUGCCUAGGAAUCUGCCUGGUAGUGGGGGAUAACGUCCGGAAACGGGCGCUAAUACCGCAUACGUCCUGAGGGAGAAAGUGGGGGAUCUUCGGACCUCACGCUAUCAGAUGAGCCUAGGUCGGAUUAGCUAGUUGGUGGUGUAAAGGCCUACCAAGGCGACGAUCCGUAACUGGUCUGAGAGGAUGAUCAGUCACACUGGAACUGAGACACGGUCCAGACUCCUACGGGAGGCAGCAGUGGGGAAUAUUGGACAAUGGGCGAAAGCCUGAUCCAGCCAUGCCGCGUGUGAAGAAGGUCUUCGGAUUGUAAAGCACUUUAAGUUGGGAGGAAGGGCAGUAAGUUAAUACCUUGCUGUUUUGACGUUACCAACAGAAUAAGCACCGGCUAACUUCGUG